rnacentral:ncRNA from 2 species
UACGUAGGGGGCAAGCGUUGUCCGGAAUUAUUGGGCGUAAAGGGCGCGUAGGCGGAUGUUUAAGUCCGGUGUGAAAGAUCAGGGCUCAACCCUGAGAGUGCAUCGGAAACUGGGCAUCUUGAGGACAGGAGAGGAAAGUGGAAUUCCUAGUGUAGCGGUGAAAUGCGUAGAUAUUAGGAGGAACACCAGUGGCGAAGGCGACUUUCUGGACUGUAACUGACGCUGAGGCGCGAAAGCGUGGGGAGCAAACAGG